GGAUAGCUCAGUCGGGUAGAGCAACGGAUUCGUAAUCCGUGUGUCGUGGGUUCGACGCCCACUCCACCA
rnacentral:tRNA from 1 species